UCCCUGGUGGCUCAGACAGUAAAGCAUCUACCUACAAAGUGGGAGACCUGGGUUCAAUCCCUAGGUCGGGAA
rnacentral:tRNA from 1 species